rnacentral:rRNA from 1 species
GAACCGUGCGAACGUUAUUCGGAAUCACUGGGCUUAAAGAGCACGUAGGCGGCGUCGUAAGUUGGAGGUGAAAUCCCAUCGGCUCAACCGUGGAACUGCCUUCGAUACUGCGAUGCUUGAGGGAGGUAGAGGCAUGUGGAACUUCCAGUGGAGCGGUGAAAUGCGUUGAGAUUGGAAGGAACGCCAGUGGCGAAAGCGACAUGCUGGAUCUCUUCUGACGCUGAGGUGCGAAAGCUAGGGUAGCGAACGGGAUUAGAUACCCCGGUAGUCCUAGCCCUAAACGAUGGGUACUGGGUAGGAAGUGCUCCGAUGGCGCCUCCUGCCGGAGCGAAAGUGUUAAGUACCCCCGCCUGGGAGUAUGGUCGCAAGGCUG